GAUCAUGGCUCAGGAUGAACGCUAGCUACAGGCUUAACACGUGCAAGUCGAGGGGCAGCAUUUUAGUUUGCUUGCAAACUAAAGAUGGCGACCGGCGCACGGGUGAGUAACACGUAUCCAACCUGCCGAUAACUCGGGGAUAGCCUUUCGAAAGAAAGAUUAAUAUCCGAUAGUAUAUUAAAACCGCAUGGUUUUACUAUUAAAGAAUUUCGGUUAUCGAUGGGGAUGCGUUCCAUUAGUUUGUUGGCGGGGUAACGGCCC
rnacentral:rRNA from 1 species